ACUUGAGGUCCUUGUUGAUUGUGGGAAAACUCCACCGCCGGGGUUCAAGUGUCCUGCCUAAGGUACUCAUGUGAUCGAUCUUAAGGUUUCUGCUACAUAUUGGCUUUUGAUUUUGAUAAUUUUCAGAAGUGUUCCAUUGAUUUUAUAAGCAUUGUUUAGGCAGCAGCUGCAUGAUGAUGAUGGGAUUUGCUGGAACUAAACAAAGUUGCGUGCUAGUGUACUGUUUGAUGUGAGGUUCUAGUCACUCUUAGCAAAAAUAACUUGGGAAUGUCUUAGUUUCUCACUGUCUGGCAAAUGGACAUACAUAUUUGAGGACCUGUUAAUUAAUGUUUGUUUGUUCUAAAGAAUGUAAGCUUAAUUAUGUUGAUUAAUCAAUACUUUUUUUUUUCUUGCUUAAAA
rnacentral:misc_RNA from 1 species